GAGAAAGUAAGCAAGGGCAGACGGUGGAUGCCUUGGCUCUCGGAGGCGACGAAGGACGUGAUAAGCUGCGAAAAGCUCGGGGGAGGCGCAAAUAGCCGUUGAUCCCGGGAUAUCCGAAUGGGGCAACCCGGCAGGCUGAAGGCCUGUCAUCCCGAAAGGGAGGCGAACGUGGGGAACUGAAACAUCUAAGUACCCAUAGGAGGAGAAAAUAAACAAUGAUUCCGUAAGUAGUGGCGAGCGAACACGGAAGAGCCCAAACCCGUGUCGUCUAGGCGAUACGGGGGUUGUAGGACCACGACGUGGCAAGAUAGAGUCAAGUGGAACGCCUUGGAAAGGGCGACCGUAGAGGGUGAUAGUCCCGUACACGACUGACGAUUGAAGCCUAGUGGUAUCCUGAGUAGCGCGGGGCACGAGAAAUCUUGCGUGAAACAGCGGGGCCCAUCCCGUAAGGCUAAAUACUCCCGAGAGACCGAUAGCGAACCAGUACCGUGAGGGAAAGGUGAAAAGAACCCCGAGCAGGGGAGUGAAAUAGACCCUGAACCCGUCUGCCUACAAGCGGUCGGAGCGUCGUAAUGACGUGACGGCGUGCCUUUUGCAUAAUGAACCUACGAGUUACCUUCCCCGGCAAGGUUAAGUACCUAAGGUACGGAGCCGAAGCGAAAGCGAGUCUGAACAGGGCGCCAAGUCGGGGGGGGUAGACGCGAAACCGAGUGAUCUACCCUUGGCCAGGUUGAAGGUUGGGUAACACCAACUGGAGGACCGGAUGGGUAAGCGUUGAAAAGCUUUCCAAUGAGCUGAGGGUAGGGGUGAAAGGCUAAUCAAACUCGGAGAUAGCUCGUACUCCCCGAAAUGCAUUUAGGUGCAGCCUCUUUAUAGUAUAUCGUGAGGUAGAGCGACUGAUUGGAUGCGAGGGCUUCACCGCCUAUCAAGUCCAGAUAAACUCCGAAUGCGCGAUAUAUAUUUACAGGGAGUGAGGGCGCGGGUGCUAAGGUCCGUGUCCGAGAGGAGAAGAAUCCAGACCACCGGCUAAGGCCCCCAAAUGAUCGUUAAGUUGAACUAACGAGGUCGGAUCGCAGAGACAGCUAGGAUGUUGGCUUGGAAGCAGCCAUUCAUUUAAAGAGUGCGUAACAGCUCACUAGUCGAGCGAUCUGGCGUGGAUAAUAAUCGGGCAUAAACGAUCUGCCGAAGCCGUGGAUGUCGCAAGACAUGGUAGGGGAGCAUUCCAUGCCGCGUCGAAGAUGAGGGAUGACCCUUGUUGGAGCGCAUGGAAAAGCAAAUGUAGGUAUGAGUAACGAUAAGGGGGGCGAGAAACCCCCCCGCCGAAAGACCAAGGUUUCCUGAUCAACGCUAAUCGGAUCAGGGUGAGUCGGGACCUAAGGCAAAGCCGAACGGCGCCGCCGAUGGAAGAAUGGGUUAAUAUUCCCAUACUGCCUCAUGGAGUGACGUGGAGACGGAGAAGUGACAGUCCUGCCGGCUGACGGAAUAGCCGGUUGAAGGGUGUAGAUAUUGAUUCCCGUAGGCAAAUCCGCGGGGAGAGUCGAACCUGAGAGUAUACGGAGCGCUUGCGCAACGUAAUAUGGACGUAACCAUGCUCCCGAGAAAAUCCGCUAAACUUAUCCAUGCGGCACCCGUACCGUAAACGGACACACGUGGUCGGGUUGAGAAUACUGAGGCGCUCGAGUGAUUCACGGUUAAGGAACUAGGCAAAUUGACCCUGUAACUUCGGGAUAAAGGGUCCUCGUCGUAAGGCGAGGCGCAGAGAAUAGGUCCAGGCAACUGUUUAACAAAAACACAUGGCUGUGCUAAAUGGAAACAUGAUGUAUACAGCCUGACACCUGCCCGGUGCCGGAAGGUUAAGAGGAGAUGUCAUCCGCGAGGAGAAGCGUUGAAU
rnacentral:rRNA from 1 species